GAAAUGCGAUAAGUAAUGUGAAUUGCAGAAUUCAGUGAAUCAUCGAAUCUUUGAACGCACAUUGCGCCCGCCAGUAUUCUGGCGGGCAUGCCUGUUCGAGCGUCAUUUCCACCAUCAGGCCCCCGGGCCUGUGUUGGGGACCUGCGGCUGCCCGCAGGCCCCGAAAUUCAGUGGCGGUCGCGCCGUAGCAACCGAGCGUAGUAACUAAAACGUCUCGCUCUGGCUCGCUGGGCGCGCUCCGGCCGUAAAACACCCCCCCCUUUUCGCAAAGGUUGACCUCGGAUCAGGUAGGAAUACCCGCUGAACUUAA
rnacentral:misc_RNA from 1 species